rnacentral:lncRNA from 1 species
GCCCAGAGAGCUGACUCACACAGAAAAAGGUUCCAGUCGUCUUUUCCUGUCUCCCUGCUGCAGGUGAGCAAAACCCUAGCUUUGUUUGGGAGGCGGACUCCAGGAAGGUGCCAUUUAAUAUAAAUUGGAGGUAGGAAGCUAUCUGGCCAAAGUUCCUUAUUUUGGAGGUGAAGAAAUGGAAAGAAAACGAAGAUCCUCAUUUGAAAACGGAAAAAGAAAAGAAAUGGAGGCAUCAUGUGAUAUUUGCCUAAAUAUCCCUAAAGAGAUCCAUUUAUUUUUAGUGUUGAAUUAAAAACCCUCAAAGGAAAAGAGAAAUUUUGAUCUCGGAGAAGAGCUGUUUCAUCCCAGAAAUCCCUCAUGUUGCAUCCAGGAAGCCGAGCCUGAAAGUGCAGCGUGGGAUCACAGGGUCAAGAUGUUUCCUGGAUAGCAGCUCCAUCACUGCUCCGUCUGAACUCACAACGUCCCCGCCAUCCACACCCCUGUCCUCAACUCAGAGCACGUAUAAGGAUGAGCAGCCACCAGCAAACAAGGGGCUCAUUUUAUGUGUGCGUUGCUGCCUCUCGGUGUCAGGGGCACUGGAUUUUGUUGACUCCCCCUCGUUCACUCAUGCAGACCUGUGUAGGCGAUCUUUCCCGGUCCAGUUACUGUCACUUGUCACCCGUCCACUUGUAGGUAAGGCUCCAGGAGAAAUGUUUCCUUCCCUUCUUGAGGGUAGAUUCAACUGAAUGGUGGAUGAAGGGAUCGGCAGCUGGAGAUCAACAGGGCAGAUUUACUACUGAUAAAAACUAGGAUGGAGGAUGUGGCAUAGGUAGUCAAUCGAAACUGACUUGCUAACACACUCUCCAUCACUCCUUCACACGCAUCCCUCCCCUACACCCAGAUCCAGUGGAAAGUCCACUUAGGAAAAGCAUGCAUUUGCAAGCAUACCCUCUAAGCCAAGAUCGUACUUCACACUGGCCUGGGGCAGACAGGAAAGAAGAGAGGUUGGUACUUCAGGGCUUAGAGCCUUUUAAUACAUUAGAUCCUCCCAGUGGAGAACAUGGACCAAUUGCUGUCUCAUGAAUCAUGUAGCCUGCAGAGGAGUGAGUAAGGGAUAGUAACAGACCAGGAGUACUGCUCAAGAGGACAUCAACUCACAGGUAAUAGGAGGAGUGGGUUAGAAAUGUUCCUUCCUAAUAAGUGGAUGCAUAUUAGGGAGUGGGGUAGAUGUGAGGUGGCUGUGAGGGUUCAGGACAAAGGAAUGAAAAAAAGAAAAUAAGGACUCAAACAUUCCACCCUAGGAAUCGCAAGCUUAGUGGACGGACAAGGCCAAGAAAUGGCUGAUGUCAGCUGAGUUAUUUAUUGCUUCAAGUCAAUGACUGAGUGAUGGCCUUUCAUGUUACAGUUUUUCUGAGUAGAUGCCUAAGCAGAUCCUGAGUGGUGAAGUUGAAGCUUAGUGGGGAUUUUUCGAAACAUGGGAACUAGACAAGGAAACUCAGUUUCUAGUUCAAGACCUAUGAGCAAAAUUGGAUAACUGACCCCCGAUAACCUUUGCAGUAAAUUGACAUGCACAGGAAAUGACACGGCUUGGAACAGCUUUUAAAGUUAACUUAAAUGUUCAGGGUCUCACUCCAACUGAGGGUAUAAAUAAUGGAACAGAGAGUAAAGUGCUUAUAUAUAGUAAUCAUUAUGGUUAUAUUUAGAAUCAGACAGGCCAAAUGUGUAAAAUUCAAUGUUUAUUGAUUGUUGUGAUGAGAAAAUACCUAAAAUAACUCCAUGCAAGCAGGAAUAGUGUCUACAUUUGCUUAAAAUUACAUUCCUAAUAUUUAGCAGAAUGCCUGGUCCACCACAGCCGCCCCAUAAACACUUGUUGGAUGAAAGAAUUAAUGUCAUGCUACUGGGUAUUGAUGAGGUAUAUAUUGUUGUGUAGGACAGUAGAGAUUGGUUUUAGUAAGAGAUUUUCUGCUGUCUAGGACAAGGAAAAUGUUAAAUAAAUCUGGUUUACCAGAAGCUAUAACA